rnacentral:misc_RNA from 1 species
UCCGGUUUGGCACCGGCAGUCUCCCUAGAGUUCCCGGUUUUCCCCUGAUGUCAAGCCCAGGUAAGGUUCUUCGCGUUGCCUCGAAUUAAGCCACAUGCUCCGCCGCUUGUGCGGGUCCCCGUCAAUUCCUUUGAGUUUUAGCCUUGCGGCCGUACUCCCCAGGCGGGGUGCUUAAUGCGUUAGCUGCGGCACGGAUCCCGUCGAUAGGGACCCACACCUAGCACCCAUCGUUUACGGCGUGGACUAC